AAACAAUUAACUUUUCCAGCUUCUUAUACAGUUUGAUUAUGAGGUUCCUUACAAACCAGGCAUGUUAAUGACAAUAAUAGAAAUAAAUUAUAACUUUAUGGUUAUAACUAAUGAUAUUUUAUUGUCUAUAUGCUUAAUGCUAAUACAUUUACAUAUUUAUAACUGCCAGCUCUAGAGAAGUUUUCGAAAGUUUCGUAAAAACUAGCUUAUUUAGCUUUUUGUUCAUUGCACUUUUUUUGAAUCAGUUCUUUACAACUAUUUAAAAUGAAUUCAGUAUUGAAAACUAGAAUUUGUAAAAUAUCAGCAUAAUAAAUACUUAUUGAGUAAGUAUUUAUUAUCAAAUCUUGACUGUUCCCUUUCAGUAAUCCUUGACACCAUUAAUUCUUUUAACAACAUGCAUUGUAAACUUGAGUUUUCAUGCAUCGUAAAGUAAACUCUUCUCAUUUGCCUUCUAGGGUCCACCUGAGAGCAGCAUGCCUUUUUUCUCCAGCCAUUAUUUCUAAAAUUAUAAGUGCAAGUAAUAUUUAUGUUCAUUUAAAUACAACUGCAGACUAAAAGCAUGCAGCUAAUUCAAAAUAGCAGUUUCCUUUACAUGUUCAUGAAAUCUCUAAAAUUUCAUUUUUCUAGACAGUUAUCUAUAAAGUUCGAGAGUUGGUGUGAAAUAUUUAUUUUUGUAAAAUUCUUAGAUUGUUUUUCUUUUCAUGUUGACAACUAUGCUUAUUUAUGUACUUAAUUUAAAAUAUAUUUUUUUCUAUUUAGAUGAUGAAAAUGUUUGAAGUGAUGAAAUCUUUUUGGAAACUGAAUGUUGCAAUCAUGGAUUGAUAGUGAUAUCAUUGGUAGUCAAAACAAGAAGCUAUCAGCUGAUCUGAUCAUUAUUUACUCCAAAUAAAACCAAAAGUUGAAAAGUGUCUUUCAAUGAAAGCAGAGGAUGCUGGUGCUGAGUGUAAGGAAGAAAAAAAAAAUUGUCAGAAAUUUUGUGAGCCUGAAGGAAAAGUUCAAUCUUUUGGUUAAAAGAAAUUAUUAUGAGCAUCAACAAGAAGGUAUGACAUGAGCUUUGGAAAAUGGCAAAAAGGAUCACAAACAAAUCAAGUGAAACCAAUCUGCAUGCAUACAAGAUGAUUCAACCAGGCAGGCUACCAUGUCCGACUACAAUUCUGUCUUCACUGUUUCAUCUGGUAAGUAAGAUUUAUGCUGAUAAUUAGUGUAAUAUUUUUAACAUAUU